UGGGGAAUAUUGCACAAUGGGCGCAAGCCUGAUGCAGCCAUGCCGCGUGUAUGAAGAAGGCCUUCGGGUUGUAAAGUACUUUCAGCGGGGAGGAAGGUGUUGUGGUUAAUAACCACAGCAAUUGACGUUACCCGCAGAAGAAGCACCGGCUAACUCCGUGCCAGCAGCCGCGGUAAUACGGAGGGUGCAAGCGUUAAUCGAAAUUACUGGGCGUAAAGCGCACGCAGGCGGUCUGUCAAGUCGGAUGUGAAAUCCCCGGGCUCAACCUGGGAACUGCAUCCGAAACUGGCAGGCUUGAGUCUUGUAGAGGGGGGUAGAAUUCCAGGUGUAGCGGUGAAAUGCGUAGAGAUCUGGAGGAAUACCGGUGGCGAAGGCGGCCCCCUGGACAAAGACUGACGCUCAGGUGCGAAAGCGUGGGGAGCAAACA
rnacentral:rRNA from 1 species